rnacentral:lncRNA from 1 species
UUAGAUCGAUUUUAUACCUAUCCACUAACAUAGGAGGUGAGCAUGCAGGUGCGCAAUCAAAAAAGUAAUAAUUAUAACUACCAAGAUCCUAUUUGCCCUAAAAUUAAACACGUGCAGGUUAAACACAAAACACGCAAGUUAAAUAAGCGAUAAAAACAACAUACAAGAAAAUAAAGGCUUAAUUAUACUAAAGUAGCAAUACAUAGCAAUUCCUAACCAAAC